UACGUAGGUGGCAAGUGUUGUCCGGAUUUACUGGGCGUAAAGGAUGCGUAGGCGGAUAUUUAAGUGAGAUGUGAAAUACCCGAGCUUAACUUGGGUGCUGCAUUUCAAACUGGAUAUCUAGAGUGCGGGAGAGGAGAAUGGAAUUCCUAGUGUAGCGGUGAAAUGCGUAGAGAUUAGGAAGAACACCAGUGGCGAAGGCGAUUCUCUGGACCGUAACUGACGCUGAGGCAUGAAAGCGUGGGUAGCAAACAGG
rnacentral:rRNA from 1 species